UACGAGGGGGGCAAGCGUUGUUCGGAAUUAUUGGGCGUAAAGGGUGCGUAGGCGGUCUGAUAAGUCAUCUGUGAAAUCUAUGGGCUCAACCCAUAGUCUGCAGGCGAAACUGUCGGGCUUGAGUAUGGGAGAGGUGAGUGGAAUUUCCGGUGUAGCGGUGAAAUGCGUAGAUAUCGGAAGGAACACCUGUGGCGAAAGCGGCUCACUGGACCAUUACUGACGCUGAGGUGCGAAAGCGUGGGGAGCAAACAGG
rnacentral:rRNA from 1 species